CAUAUCAAAUGUGUUUGAUCUUGUUUUUUUAACUGUCAAUCAAAUGAUGUGCAUCUGUGUCAUUCCACUUCUGCUGUCAUACUUGGUGAUGUGAUUCUACUUGGUGAUGUGGGGAGAUCCUGAAGUCCUAGCGAUGGGGGCGUGUGCCAGGAAAGGGAUGGAUAGAACGGAGCCAGGCAACAUCCGCUAUCUACUUCCUCUGCCUACCCCUGGGAGGUUCUGGCUGAGAAUCGCAGUAGCCUUCCUCCAUGGGGCUGGUCAGGAGAAAGAGAAGAAGGGAAUGAGGCAGCUACAGGGGGAGUAUUGGCCAGAAGACCCUCUGCUUCAUUCCUCCAGUGCCCGGCUGUGGCUUUCACGGGUCCUGCUGCAGACAGGAGUCCAGCCAAGAGGUGGCUGCUUCUCCCUAACUUGUUUCAGCCUCAGAAUGGUGAUGGCAAGCCCCUCUGAACAACCCUUGCCAAGAAACACCCUGUGAAACCCUCCACCCUUCUUGAAGCCAUGCAAAUGCAACGGUGCACAUAUACUGUCAAAGUUUUUUUUAAAAACACAAGCCGCACCAUGUUCCCAAUAGAACCCCCUACCCAACUUUGGCGAUGUCUGGACAUCAUGCAUUGGUGCAGAUAAAGAAGACCAAUUCACUGGCAGAAGAGGAAAACGAUUGCGUGGUGGUUUAAAGGGACCACUUGACAGUGCGGGAAAUUUAAAUCCUCUAGAUUUAAAGAGCCAAUAUCUUCACCCACUAACCAUGAGCGCAAUGAGGGGGGAAACAGUGGUGGUUUCCCACCAAGCCAAGACUGAUGGGAUGGUCUUGGCAGGUUCCAACCCCUCCUCUCAUUACCCCUCCCUUCUGGGUUCCCCAAAUGGGAUGGGAAGCACGUUCCCAUUGGCAGCUUCCUAAAAAGCCCAGUGCUUUUGAAAAGAUGCUGAAAAUUCCUCAGUAUCAAAAGCACUGGGUUAAGGGGGAUUUGCACAUACACACACAAGAAAUUCGGGUCCGGAAAACCUGGUACAAGUAUGAACAGCCCCCUUUUAAACUGGUUUGCAAACUGGUUUAUGCCAUAGUGUGAAUGGCCACAGGAUAAAUAUAAGCAGAAUUUAAUUUUUUUUGGUUAAAACAUGAAUGAAUAAAAAGUUUUUUAAAAAAGUUUAAACAAAAAAAGCCCUGAAGGUUUUUCCCCAACCCUGGUAAGAAUGCAUUGAGCAUGGUAGGCUUCUUUUUACAUUGAGAAUGGUAGGUUUCUGUUUCUAGUUUGAAAUUAUUUCCUGUAGUUUGAUCUCCUCGGGGAUCAAAUAUGUGAAGCUGAAAUAUGACAAAUAUCUGGUGCCUAAUCAUAGGCAUAGUGGAAAUCAAUUUUAAUUGUUUGUAGUUCUGCAUAGGGUUCAAGGCCUUCAGAAUGGCACAGGAUUCGUUGACUGCUCUUGAUUACUGUGUAACAUAAGAACCUUGGCAAGCAGAAAGAUGGCAUAAGAAUAUAACAGAAGUAGUAAAGCUACCUGAACCUCAAGAUCAGCACUAGUGUUAAGUUUGUGGAAUCUCUGCAUCAUCAUCCCAGUGAACUUCCACAUCCAGCAUGAUAGAUGUUCCACCAUCCUUCUCCCUUACUUUUCCAUGGAUGCAACAGCAGCCUUCCCGCCCCCCCCCCCCCUUGAUAAAAACCUCUAGCUGUCUGCUACAUUUUAAAAUAAUUUAAUUUCCUAGUGCCUCUGUGAGCCUGAUGUAGCAUCUUUUUGAACCAGUGCUUUGUAGGGGCCAAACAAAUUCUGAAUGCUAGCUGCAGCCACCCAGACUGGGCAAAGUAAUGCUGAGAAGACUACUUAGCAAGGCUGACUGGAGACUACAUUUGAAAUUGCUGGUAGCCUGAGGCUCAAGCUGUCAGUGGUUACAUAACCAAGCUGAUUAUUAAUGCUAUUCCUGCUUGAGAUGACCUCAGGGUCUUCUCUGCAGGCUGCUUUCAUGCUAGGACUUCUUUGGAAAGCCCUCUGCAGUAAAGUUCAUGCAGUAGCUACUUUGUGGUCUUUUUCAAUUUGUUGUUCUUGUGUGCCUUCCAGUAAUUUCCAACUGGCAGCAGCCCUAAGGUGACCCUAUCACAAGGUUUUCUUAGCAGCAUUUGUUCAGUGGAGGUUCCUCUGAGGUCUUUGCCUUCCUCUGAGGCUAAGAUAAUGUGACUUGCCCAAGGUGGGUUUUCAUGGCUGAGUGGUGAUUUGAAUCUCUGUCUCCAAAGUCACAGUCCAAUACUCAAAUAUCGACACCAUGCAGGCUCCUUUUUCAGUGCUUGGUUUUUAAUUAAAACUAAGACUGUUAAGCAAAAUAACUAAAAAAUUGUUAGUGUUGCUUGAGAAAUUUUCGUGUAGAUUAUUCACUGUUUUACAUUGCGUUCUGUUUUUUAUGGUUUAUAAUUUAUAUAUGUUUUAAAUGAUUUAUUAAAAUGUUAUUAUUUAUAAUCAUA